rnacentral:tRNA from 1 species
CCCGCGAGGUAGAAGGCGCUAAAAUGCAAAUUUAGAGAAGCACCCUAACAGGUGCCGGGGCUUCUCCCGUUUUAUAGAGACGGGAGAAGA